rnacentral:rRNA from 1 species
AACGAACGCUGGCGGCAUGCCUAACACAUGCAAGUCGAACGAGACCUUCGUGUCUAGUUGCGCACGUGUGCUUACCGCGUGGGAACCUGCCCUUAGGUUCGCAAUCACUCCCCGAGAGGGGUGCUCAUACCGGUUAAUGUCUUCGCACCAAAGAGUUAUCGCCAUUGGAUGGGCCCUGGUUGGAUUCGCGAGUUGGUAGUGUAAAAGCCUACCAAGGCGACGAUCCAUAGCUGGUCUGAGAGGAUGACAAGCCGCACUGGGGCUGAGACACGGCCCAGACUCCGACGGAAGACAGCAGUGGGGAAUAUUGGACGAUGAACGAUAACCUGGUCCAGCAGUGCCGCGUAAGAGGGGAAGGACGUAGGAUUGUAAAGCUCUUUUACCCGAGAUGAUAAUGACAGUACCGGGAAAAUAAGCUCCGGCUAACUCCGUG